rnacentral:rRNA from 1 species
ACUGGUGUUCGGGUUGUCAUGCCAAUGGCACUGCCCGGUAGCUAAAUGCGGAAGAGAUAAGUGCUGAAAGCAUCUAAGCACGAAACUUGCCCCGAGAUGAGUUCUCCCUGAGACUUAGAGUCUCCUGAAGGAACGUUGAAGACGACGACGUUGAUAGGCCGGGUGUGUAAGCGCAGCGAUGCGUUGAGCUAACCGGUACUAAUGAACCGUGAGGCUUAACCUU